rnacentral:rRNA from 3 species
CUGUAAGCCUGCGAAGGUGGCCUGUGAGGGUUGCUGGAGGUAUCAGAAGUGCGAAUGCUGACAUAAGUAACGAUAAAGCGGGUGAAAAGCCCGCUCGCCGGAAGACCAAGGGUUCCUGUCCAACGUUAAUCGGGGCAGGGUGAGUCGACCCCUAAGGCGAGGCCGAAAGGCGUAGUCGAUGGGAAACGGGUUAAUAUUCCCGUACUUGGUGUUACUGCGAAGGGGGGACGGAGAAGGCUAUGUUGGCCGGGCGACGGUUGUCCCGGUUUAAGCGUGUAGGUGUGUGUUCCAGGUAAAUCCGGUU